UACGGGGGGGGGCAAGCGUUGUUCGGAAUUACUGGGCGUAAAGGGCGCGUAGGCGGCGUAUUAAGUCAGCUGUGAAAUCUCCAAGCUUAACUUGGAACGGUCAGCUGAUACUGAUGUGCUAGAGUGCAGAAGGGGCAAUCGGAAUUCUUGGUGUAGCGGUGAAAUGCGUAGAUAUCAAGAGGAACACCUGAGGUGAAGACGGGUUGCUGGGCUGACACUGACGCUGAAGCGCGAAAGCUAGGGUAGCAAACGGG
rnacentral:rRNA from 1 species